UCAUUUCAUUUUCAUUUCGGUUUUCGCUACAAAUAUUUUUAUUUGCGUCCAUGCGUCUAAACAACUCAAUUUACAUCGACGUGCACGAAGCAUUAAAACUUAAGCUAAAUGUCUUUCUAUAGACCAGGCAAAAAUAGUAUUUGACUUAGUAAGUUGUUAUUGUUCAGAGUGCCCACAAUGGACAUCAUUAUACAUAUGUGUAAAACAUACUAACGCUAUCGAUUUUUUUAAAGAAGCGUUUUUUAAUGUGAUUUAAUAAAUUCCAAUUUUUGAGACAUUUGGAGGUUUAUGUGCUACGCUUAAAAACAAACGAUAUUGAAAAUGAAUUGAAUUGGAGCAAUUUUGUGCCCACUCUGCACGUUUCCAGUAUAAGCGCGCGCCUUUUCGCAGUUACAAACGUUACCUAUUAUCGUCACUAAAGUCGACCGUGAGCCCCGCAUAGAUUUAACUGCCAUGUCUCUUAAUUAAGGAAAUAAUUUCCAAGCUAAAAGUGUUUGGCAGAGCUAAUAAAGAUUGAAAAACAAGAUAUGCCACCGCUCAACGCCAGACCAUAAAAACCACCAUAUGACUCCACGCCUCUACGCCUCCUACCAAUGAAUGAAUUUUAUCUAUAUGAAAUACUGUGACACAGAGAAUGUCCAUGUUGCAAACCAAGCCUUCACAGAAGUCCUAAAGGCGAGCAAAAAGUCAUAAGCCAUUCAUACUUACCCAUUGUUACUGGCUUUGGUGUUAUCGAAAUGGGCUUGAAAAAAGAAAUGCUUUAUAUGCUCCAAAUGAUUAUUAUAGCGUGAUAACAGUACCUAACAUGGAAACAAAAUAUUUUAUUUCAAUACGAUCCUUGGAAAAAUUUGUUGCAGGAAAAACAAUAAAUCUAAACCAAAAUGGAAUUAAUUGGCUAAAAAUCAAUGGAUAAGGAUAGCCUAUAAAACGUUUUAUAAAUUAACCUUAACCAAAAUAAGGAAAAGUUAGGCGUAAUUCACAAAUAGAAAUGGAUCCUUUAUACGCUAGUUCUCGCCGUGUUACUUCAACACAACAUGAAACCAUGAUGGACUUGCUUCGUUGUGUAUCUCCAAUAUACCACAGUUAUUUAC